AUGUUUACCGUAUUCAUUUAAAGCAUCGUAGGACAAUGCCGCUAUGUAAACUGUAAGGUGGGUCUUAAAUUAGUGUGAGUUAUUUUGGCACCGGACUCAACCUUCACGUUACAAUAUUUAAAGUAUUGCGCUGUCAUAGUAACGAAAAUGAUAAACACGUCAAUCGGAGUAAACAAGUAACUAAAUGAUGCAAACAAGAAAAUAUUGCAAAAUAGGUACAUAUAUAUGUACCGAUAAUUAUUUUGUGUUAAAAAUAUGAGGCAAAUUAUACUGCCCGAUUAUACGGACUACAUAUUAAAAACGAUUAUCUUGGAAACAGUCAAUAGAUGUCGAACCACCAGCAAAGUUUUUGAAGAGGUGUACCUAGUUCCUGGUACCAACUGGAAACUGAAACUAAUAAUCUACACUCAAGAAAAUGAAAUAUAGUCACAGAAAACUUUAA